ACGAACGCUGGCGGCAUGCCUAACACAUGCAAGUCGAACGAUCCCUUCGGGGAUAGUGGCGCACGGGUGCGUAACGCGUGGGAACCUGCCCUUAGGUUCGGAAUAACUCAGAGAAAUUUGAGCUAAUACCGGAUAAUGUCUUCGGACCAAAGAUUUAUCGCCUUUGGAUGGGCCCGCGUUGGAUUAGCUAGUUGGUGGGGUAAAGGCCUACCAAGGCGACGAUCCAUAGCUGGUCUGAGAGGAUGAUCAGCCACACUGGGACUGAGACACGGCCCAGACUCCUACGGGAGGCAGCAGUGGGGAAUAUUGGACAAUGGGCGAAAGCCUGAUCCAGCAAUGCCGCGUGAGUGAUGAAGGCCUUAGGGUUGUAAAGCUCUUUUACCCGGGAUGAUAAUGACAGUACCGGGAGAAUAAGCCCCGGCUAACUCCGU
rnacentral:rRNA from 1 species